UACGUAGGGUGCAAGCGUUAAUCGGAAUUACUGGGCGUAAAGCGUGCGCAGGCGGUUCGACAAGUCUGAUGUGAAAUCCCCGGGCUCAACCUGGGAACUGCGUUGGAAACUGUCGGGCUAGAGUGUAGAAGAGGGGGGUAGAAUUCCACGUGUAGCAGUGAAAUGCGUAGAGAUGUGGAGGAAUACCGAUGGCGAAGGCAGCCCCCUGGGCUAACACUGACGCUCAUGCACGAAAGCGUGGGGAGCAAAC
rnacentral:rRNA from 1 species